ACCGCCUUGGUCUUCGAAACAGCAGCUACACUCUUCGUCUUAGGUUUGGGCUUCGCAGCGGCUUUAGUUGUUGCUGUUGUCUUUGCCUUAGGCUUAGCAGCAGCAGCAGGUUUCUUGGCUCCUUUAGCAGCCGGUUUGGCCUUAGCAGGAGCUUUACCCUUCGGUUUAGUAACAGCAGCAGCUGGUUUCUUGUUAACCGGUUUAGUCGUAGCCGCCGGUUUAGCCGCAGACGGAAUCUUGAAAGAGGCUUUGACUUUGACUAGCUUCCCGGAAGCGACGAGUCUCCUGAGAUUGACGAGGAGAAGCUUCCUGAAAGUUGGAGGAAGC
rnacentral:lncRNA from 1 species